rnacentral:rRNA from 1 species
UACGUAGGGCGCGAGCGUUGUCCGGAAUAUUGGGCGUAAAGAGCUCGUAGGCGGCCUGUCGCGUCCGCUGUGAAAACCCGGGGCUCAACCCCGGGCUUGCAGUGGAUACGGGCAGGCUAGAGGCAGGCAGGGGAGAACGGAAUUCCCGGUGUAGCGGUGAAAUGCGCAGAUAUCGGGAGGAACACCGGUGGCGAAGGCGGGUCUC